GGUUUGUAGUAUUAAUUUUGGAAUAACAAGCCGACCGAUGGGCACGUGUCGUAGCAGCUACCUUCUAACGGGCGACGAAUUUUGAGGUUUACGGUGUCCUUAUCGAUCGCUAUUCCUUGGAAUUCAUCAAUGUUAACUGUUUAGCACAAUAAUAUAUGUGACAAUAUCAUAAUAUUGUAGCUGCCCAAGCAGGUCUCAAAUCAUUAGCUUUGUUUGGUUGAUCACAAUAUAUAAGUAUGGAGAACUUUGUGACAUUCCCGAUUCAUAAGUUUAUAUAUACCGACGAUUGGUCACUAUGGACAGUGGAUGUGUUAGCUGAAGCCGAUAAUGUUGUGUUGCGUGGACGCGUCUGUGGGGUUCACGAAAGCGGUUUACUGGUCAAAACUGGUUCUUGUGAAAAUUCUCUUCUCGUUCCAUUCAGUCGACUACGAAGAACUCUUUGUUGCGAGGCGCUAUCUGGUUCGGAUCCAGUGUGGCCAGAUGGGUCUGUUCCAGACUACGACGACAGAGACUUAAGCAGCGCUAAUGACAUUGAGGUACUCAUAAGUUUGGAAGAGAAUCAGCCUGAAUCGUGGCAGCCUGCGCGCAUCCUAAAAGGCGUCCUGUGCUGUCACUGGUUAUAUGGAAACAUGGAAUACGGAUCGCUAGUAAAAGUCGAACUUCUCUCGGGAAAGUCCUGUUACCUGAUUGAUGGACCAGAUGACACUACAAGGCGCGUUCGGUCGCACGCAGUCACUCAUUUUCCGGAAUAUACUUAUCUUACUGCCGAAGAAUAUAGUGAAGUACAGCUGAAUUUCAAGCCUUGUGCAGAUUAUCCAGAUCCCAUGUUUUUGAUAAAAACAGCAAUCAAGAUUCCAGAAUUUCCGUACUUUUGGCGUAGAACAACGGGCACUGUAUUUGUAUCUUGUGACAUAAAUACCAUCACAGUGAUAAAAUGGAGAUACCAUACAACUACAAACGAUCCUGAGUUUGCAUAUUAUGUAUUAUCCGACACGGCUGCGUUCAUUACAAAAGUCGACCAAAUGGUGAAAGCGACAACCUAUGAACAAUUAAUUAGUUUGGUUUCUACGGCAGCGACCGUUGGUGAAGCGAAAAAUUGCGAAGAUGGUUCCGCUCAGUCACUUUUUGACUUACCUUGGGAUAUCCAGGUGAUGAUAUUUUCUUACCUCGAUGCGUACGCUCAAAGCUACCUCAAAAGGGUAUGCACAAACUUCUUCGACCUCUCAUGCUGGCACAGAUGCCGGUCCGUUAUCUUGCCAACUCGCUAUAGCGGGAUUCGUGAAAUUAUAGACUCAUUGGAUCUGUAUGCUAAACACCGACGAGAAGAUCCAGAAAAUGCAUUUCUUUUUUCUCAUUUGAUUGCGCACUGCGUUACGUCCGAUACAAAAGUUAUAUAUCUAUCCGGAAACUGGAAAAAAUGUUUAUCUUGCCUCGUGGAUCUUCUGCGCAUAAUGGAAGUCAGACUUGAUUGGCUAGUGGUAACCGAUAAUUCGGAGCUCUUGUAUGGAGAAUUUCUGAAAUUCCCUAACCCGCAUAUCCACCUCGAAGUUAAAAAAAUUGACGACAACGGUCACACUGGGAUGACGAUAUACUGUUUGCCCGUACCAGAGUACAGGAGCGUUUGUGCCAACAUCUUAUUGAAAAACUCAUCUUUCAACAGCGACCGAUCUAUAAAAUACCGCACUUUGUUUUUAACUUCUGACGUAGAAGGAGAUACUGUGGAAGCGGACCCAUGCACUUGCAUCUGGAACUGCUCCGGCUAUGAACUAGAUUCUGACAGGAAUCCGUUCACAAUACUUGUAUCUCGUUGGCACUAUAGUUUUGCCAAUUCCGCUCCAGAUGACUUCGAAAAGUCGAUGCUAUUCAUGUUCCAAUCAUUCUGCCCCGAACUGGACAAGCCCAGUGUGACGCGUCUUGUCAGCUGGUUGGAUUGUCUUUCGCCCAGCUGCCUGAAAACCCAACAUACCGUUUGGCCAUUAUUGAAGUUGUCCCUUUAUCUGUGGAAAUUUGGGCGUUCGUCAGAAGAGGAUUUCACUGGAGUCAUUCGACAAUUGCAACUAGCUUGUAACGAAGACGCUCCUAAAGAAAGCACAUUAAUCAUACAAACAGCUGCCCUGGCACUACCAAUACCAAAUCCAUAGGAGAUCAUACGAGUGCUCAGUAAUACAAAAGAAUGUCUGAUAUCCUUUUGUGUUAUUGAUUAUGCUAGUACUAUAUUUGUACAGUAAUUGUUUCAACUGGUCAUUGAGAGUACAUGUACAUGUUAUGCCAUUUUAGUUUUGUUAUCAUUCUUAUGUGCAGUACGAGUAUGAAUGACUGAGCUUGCAGCUAUCACCAUGCAGCUAUCAUUUACAGUACUUAUUGUUUGUUAAGUUUAAUUACUUAACCAAUUUAAUUACUUAUUGAAGCCUGUGAAGUGCAAAUCUUUUGAGGUCCUCUGAUCAAAUCAAUAAAACUGGUUUACCAAAUAAGGCAAGUGUGGAGUGUGGACCACAAUCUACAGAGCGCUAGCGGUCAUGGUAUUAGAAAGAUUCCUGUGGCAGGAAUUCAGGCGUUCGUUGCAGGAUCCCCACAGAAUGAAGGCCCUCAUUGUCAGUGCCAUCAAGCUAAUAGUGAUUUUCGUCACGCUGGCUGUGCAUUAUCUGGAUUUACCUGAUCGAUGGAGUGUGUCGACGGUCAGCUGCAUUCCUACCGGUCGGCCCGGCACAGCAGUCCCCAUCUUGCAAGAUUGUACCGGAAAUACUGGGGUGCGUCUAGCUUCAGCCUCGCAAUUGUGGCCUCGUCCAUUCUCAUUCCCGUGAUGAAGAUUCGGGGAUGAGAUUCGGGAUUUAAUCGCGAUCACCAUUACAAAUUCGGGAAUUAAUCGCGAUCGGUGCGAUCAACGUGUUCCGGUGCUUCGUUCUAGAGUAUCCCCAUGUUCGUUCUAGAGUAUCCCCAUGACGGGAACUCGGACGCUUUUGAAACAUUUACAUCCUACAUCUGGGCAAAAUCCUCGCUUCAGUGGGCUACAUUCUUGCUUAAAUUACAGAAAAAUUUGGCACAAAGAAAUUCGGACGUCAACACCAAUCGGUGAAGCAUCGCCGACCUUGGACUUGUGCAUAUAUGUUCGGGAAGAAAUAGGGAAAUGUUAUUACCAUUCUAACAUUUUAACAAACCAAAAAUUAUUAUAUCGGCCACUGGUUCGGUAGGCACGAUUCCUGGCAUUGGUCACGUCUUAUACGAUGGUUAAGAUCGAGCAGCGUUGUGGUCAAGUUUAAUUGGCAAUGC